rnacentral:rRNA from 1 species
UACGUAGGUGGCAAGCGUUGUCCGGAAUUACUGGGCGUAAAGCGUGCGUAGGCGGUUUGUUAAGUCCGUUGUGAAAGCCCUGGGCUCAACCUGGGAAUUGCAGUGGAUACUGGCGAGCUAGAGUGCGGUAGAGGAUGGUGGAAUUCCCGGUGUAGCGGUGAAAUGCGUAGAGAUCGGGAGGAACACCCGUGGCGAAGGCGGCCAUCUGGACCAGCACUGACGCUGAGGCACGAAAGCGUGGGGAGCAAACAGG